GGCUGUAGCCGUUUUUAGAGUGGGCUAGUUAGACUCAGAUGAAUCUCUUCCUCUGGAAUGCCAGUGAGCUCUAUUUCCUCUGCAAGCGUUCUCUUCAUACCCUUUCCUCUAAAAGAUGGAACUUUCCCAGGUGGUCACACCUACUGUCUUUUCGGUUUUUUUUUUUUUGUUUUGUUUUGUUUUGUUUUUCGAGACAGGGUUUCUCUGUAGUCUUUUCAUCUUUCUACUUGACGCUUUGGCAAUCAUUGAGCUCUGUGACUCCUGGCGCCAUCUCUGACCCAGUUCUGAAAGGUGCAGUCUCAAAAAACAUCCUGAGUUCACGCUUCCUGGGAUGUUUCCACUUGGAUUCCUAGCUAGUUAUUAGAAACUUUGUCCUCUGGGUAUGAUGUAGCCAUUGUGGUCUCAAAAUCGGAGCAGCUGUGAUUGCCUGCAGGGGGCCAUCCCAUGACUUGGGCGGGCACACUGCCAUUCUCCUGUGGAGAGAAAGGCUCUUGGGAAAGAGCUACAUGGCUUCUCAUAGGGUGGUACACACAGGGGCUCACGCGGUGAAGGACACGUGAGACAGCCCUUCCUGAGGACAUUAAGCAGUUAACAGUUGAGAGGAAGGGAGACUCUGGUGGUGUAGCUACUUGUAAGUUGUCUAUGCUCCUUAGUAAUCCCCGGCCCAUACUCUUGUAAAUAAAAGCAAUUAAACUCAUGGAUGGACCAAGCUGGACUUGGGUGCAAUCAUCUCUUUUUUUCUCUUUUUUGAUUCCCUAUCUGGGUGGACUAGGCCUUGGUUUACGUCUCUCUAGGGAAAGUUAAUACCUUGUCCCUCAUGUUCAGCUUUUCCAUCAUUGUGCUCUGAAGAAAGAGUCUUCUGCACACUUGAACUCUGCUAUCGAUGGUCAUCACUGGCUGGUUCUUAAGCUGUAGCACUAAGGUUGGUUUUGCCAUUUCUCAUCUUCUUUGACUUCAGCCAAGCAAUGCAAUUGAUCUUUUCAGACUGUUUGCGCAACCAUUUCUUCUAAAUUCUCUGGCCUCCUGAACCCUUCAGUCCAGGAAUCUUUCUGAAUUCCUUCCUUCUCCAGCUUUGAGUCCGUGGCGCUUGAAAUCUGCCACCGUUUCCCAUUGUCCCUGGUUCCUCCUCUUUCCGUCAUUCCUAUUUGCAUAACUUGGCGCUAGACUCCGCUGUGGCACGCUGGGAGGCUGAGUGGUUUGGGAACAACUGCAGGGAAGGAAGGUAUUUGUAAUAAUUGGCUUGCUUCAUGCUCCACAAGCUGCAAUGGAUUUUCUGUACAGAAUCUUCUUGCCUCUCUUACACUGCUGUUGAAGGGAAGGCUUCCAGUCCCUAAAUUCAGUCAAGAAAGGGAAGUCAAGACGGACGCUGCAAGCUCAGCCAAACAGUCGACGCUGAUGGGAAAACAUUAACAUGGAGAACUGAUUCCCCCCCCCCCAAAGAUGUUGGGACCACAGAGGCAGCAUCCUCCAGAGCUG